CUCUUCGAAAUAUAUUUAGGUAUAGCCUUAUAAGUUUCUUAUCGGAGGUAGAGCACUGGAUGGGCUAGGGGUCUCACCGGAUUACUAAACCUAACUAAACUCCGAAUACCGAUAAGUAAGAUUAUAGGAGUCAGCCCGCGGGAGCUAAGUUCCGCGGACGAGAGGGAAACAACCCAGACCACCAGCUAAGGUCCCCAAAUCUAUGCUAAGUGGGGAAGGAUGUGGAAAUGCCCAGACAACCAGGAGGUUGGCUUAGAAGCAGCCAUCCUUUAAAGAAAGCGUAACAGCUCACUGGUCGAGUGGGUCUGCGCCGAAAAUGUAACGGGGCUAAAGUAUAGUACCGAAGCUGUGGAUCAAGAAAUUAUUUAUAAUUUUUUGGUGGUAGAAGAGCGUUGUGCCAUCAGUGAAUCAAUAUCGUGAGGUAUUGUGGAGAUCGCACAAGUGACCAUGCUGACAUGAGUAGCGAUAAAGCGGGUGAGAGGCCCGCUCGCCGUAAGCCCAAGGUUUCCUGAGUAAAGCUAAUCUGCUCAGGGUUAGUCGAUCCCUAAGGCGAGGCCGAAAGGCGUAGUCGAUGGAAAACAGGUUAAUAUUCCUGUACCACCUAAUUGUUGUUUGAGAGAAGGGGGGACGCAGGAGGGCAGGUCAUCCGUCUGUUGGAAUAGGCGGUUCAAGCCGGUAGGCUGAUUGAGCAGGCAAAUCCGUUCGAUCUUUAAAGCCGAGAAGUGAUGAGGAGGGGGUAACCCCGUAAACUGACUGCACCCAUGCUGCCAAGAAAAGCCUCUAUUGAGACAAUAGGUGAUCGUACCGUAAACCAACACAGGUAGGCAGGGAGAGUAUCCCGAGGCGCUUGAGAGAACUCUGGUUAAGGAACUCGGCAAAAUCAUACCGUAACUUAGGGAGAAGGUAUGCCUUUGAAGGUGAUUAAAAUGCUUUAUGAGCUUUUGGAGGCCGCAGAGAAAUGGUGGUAGCGACUGUUUACUAAAAACAUAGGACUCUGCAAAGUCGUAAGACGAAGUAUAGGGUCUGACGCCUGCCCGGUGCCGGAAGGUUAAGGGGAUUUGUUAGCGUAAGCAAAGCUCUGAACUGAAGCCCCGGUAAACGGCGGCCGUAACUAUAACGGUCCUAAGGUAGCGAAAUUCCUUGUCGGGUAAGUUCCGACCUGCACGAAUGGCGUAACGACUUCCACACUGUCUCAACCAGGGACUCAGCGAAAUUGGAAUGGCGGUGAAGAUACCGUCUACCCGCGAAAAGACGGAAAGACCCCGGCACCUUUACUACAGCUUGACAUUGGAUUUUGGGAUAUGAUGUGCAGGAUAGGUGGGAGACGAUGAAGCAGGCACGCAAGUGUUUGUGGAGUUACCCUUGAAAUACCACCCUUCAUAUUUCAGUGUUCUAACUUUGGUCCAUUAUCUGGAUUGAGGACAGUGUCUGGUGGGUAGUUUGACUGGGGCGGUCGCCUCCCAAAGAGUAACGGAGGCGCGCGAAGGUUCCCUCAGGCUGAUUGGAAACCAGCCGUAGAGUGCAAAGGCAUAAGGGAGCUUGACUGCGAGAGAGACAUUUCGAGCAGGUACGAAAGUAGGUCUUAGUGAUCCGGCGGUUCUGAAUGGAAGGGCCGUCGCUCAACGGAUAAAAGGUACGCCGGGGGAUAACAGGCUUAUCGCCCCCAAGAGUUCACAUCGACGGGGCGGUUUGGCACCUCGAUGUCGGCUCAUCACAUCCUGGGGCUGGAGCAGGUCCCAAGGGUUUGGCUGUUCGCCAAUUAAAGUGGUACGUGAGCUGGGUUUA
rnacentral:rRNA from 1 species